GGAUGAGAGGGCAAUCUGGCUGUGACAUCUGUCACCCCACUGAUCGCCAGGGGUUGAUUCGGCUGAUCUGGCUGGCUAGGCUGGUGUCCCCUUCCUCCCUCACCACUCCAUGUGCGUCCCCCCGAAGCUGUGCACUCGGUCCAAGAGGACGGCCUUCCCCAAAUAGAGACAGACUGGUUUUCAGUCUUGGGUAUAGUAGUAGCAGGCUGCGCUCCCCUGCUAGAACCUCCAAACAAGCACUCAAGAUAAAAGCAGAAAUUAACAGUUAUAUUGCUACAACCAAAGCACCUGGAAUUAUCU
rnacentral:snRNA from 1 species